UUCCAUGAAGCUAGAAUUGCUAGUAAUGGCAGGUCAGCAUACUGCCGUGAAUACGUUCCCGGGCCUUGUACACACCGCCCGUCACACCAUGAGAGUUGGGAAUACCCGAAGCCUGUGAGCUAACUUAUAGAGGCAGCAGUCGAAGGUAGAAUCAAUGAUUGGGGUGAAGUCGUAACAAGGUACC
rnacentral:rRNA from 1 species